rnacentral:lncRNA from 1 species
CAUUUCACCUGUUUCAGUUGAGCAAGCAGAAACAGCUGCUGUGGAUGAAGCAAGCUCCAGACCUCUUGCUUGCUUUGUGGAGCAACAUAAGACCAAACCACAACCCAAGGAGAAUAAAAAGCCCACCAGAUCUAUUACUAUGUUUAUUUUAGAAGAAAUAUAGCAGCAAGAUAUUCUUUACAAGAAAGAGCAGACUAAAGGGAAUUAGUGUGGCUCUCAUGGGGCCCCACCUGAGGAGCUCCUGGUUUAGAAGAGAAUGAGGAGUUCCUGCAAGUCUUCUGAGGAGAAUACUGCCCACCCCUCAGAUGAGGAAGAAGGUCCCUGUGGAGGUAGAAGUGGCAAGACUUCUGAAUGUCAACAACAUCUUACAGGAGAACUAAAUGAACCAAUCACUGCUCUACUACCUCCGUUCUUACCAUGUGAGAUUAAAAGUAGUAGUAAAGAAUUUAAGUUACAGAAUACAGAAUGUAAUGUAGGUCUGGAAUUGCAGAAACUUGCACUGGAGGACUACUCUUUUUCUGUAAAAAAUGCAAGAACUGUUCCAAAUUGUGACAUGUAGAAAUACUGGAAAAGAAUUGGAAGUAGCUUUCACUUGAUCUGCGUUCUUGUCUGCCACACUUGUAUAUGCUGUUUAGGCAGCUGUACCAAAUCAUAGAAUCAUAGAAUAGAAUAUCCUGAGUUGGAAGGGACCCUUAAGGAUCAUCAAGUCCAACUCUUGACACCACAUAGCGCAUUGAAAGUCUUUUGCCUGUGAAAAAUAAACCUACAUUUUAAAAAAGCAGACUUGAUGUGCAGUGU